AUUGUAAAACUGAAAAUGGCAAUGUUGCGCCUUGUUCGUUACUUUCAAGAUGGCUGCUGACAGUCUAAAGACACUGAGCGGAAAGGUCCAGACUCCAGUUACUCAUUCAGCCAGGUGAAGUCUGCGCUUCUUUGUUGCAGUCUAAUGUGCACAUGGAUUGGUUGCAGUCAUCCAGUGAAAGGUGUGAUUAAAUUGAGCUGUUGCAUGCAGUCUUUGGUGCUGAUGUGUUGUCCUGAAGUGUGGGAGAGUUCCAUGCUUCAAGUCUUCUGGGAUCAGCCAUAUCUGAGUUGACGCUGGAUCAUGCUGCAUUGAGGUUGCCGAAAUGUGGACAUCUAGUAGAACUGCAAGAAGACUCCUUGUAAUGGUUUAUGUUUACGUAGCAGUGAUGUUGCUGUCCAAUAUGGCAUGUUGUUGCAGCCUAUAGACUGGUGAAAGAUUUUUUUGCAUCGAGUUGCAUAUGCUGUUGCUGUUCCUUGGUGCCGGACUGCUGCCUGGUGUUGUGCACAAAAGUUACAUCCAGUUUUAAUUGUUAUUUGUGUCUAUUCAAGUAUUCAGUUAACCGUUAUAUGUUGAGAAUGAAAAAAAAAGUAAUACGGGGAAUUUUACGUUGAACAAAUAAUAAACAUGCCUUCGCGAUUGGGAAAUCAGCGAGGAGGAAAUGGGGGGGGUAUUUGAUUUUCAUUUACAAGAAGUCGUAGUUUGUUUUAUUACGGUAGAAAUAAAAUCCUUUGUCUAUCAUAUCCAUAUACCUACCUAUAUAACCACAUCUAUUCCUCAUACCCCAUAACCCCCACCAACAUCCAUUCCUUAAAAUCCCAUUUCCCCACAAAUGUCAAAUAUCUGUAAUAUGUACAUGUUUUUGAUCAAUAAAUAAACCAUCUUUAU